ACGUCCUACUGACAAAGCACCCGGAUGGAGUCUUUCUGCCCGGGUGUGAUCGGCAGUAGGGACUUGCAGCUGGACUGGGCUGGCACAGUUUGGGGGAGCGGGCGAGGGCAGGGCUGGAGUGAAAGAGGUUGAGGAAAAUGCUUUGGGAGAAGGGAUUCAGGAGGAGAAUUUCACUUCAUUGUUACGAUUGGUAGCCCUUCUGGGAACUGAGAAUUCACUUCUACCGCGCAGCAGAGACGGUGUUGCGGUGGUCCUUCGUGUCCCCGGCGCACGUGGCUGGGCGAGGACACGAGCGCCGGAUCUGGGAAGAAGAUCAGAGUCUGCGGGGGGACUGCGCUGCAGUGGCCAAGGAGAGAGGCUCUCAGUAUGCAGUUUAGGCUGGACUUGAGUUUGUGGUGAUCCUCUUGCUUCAGCCUCCCAAAUGUUGGAAUCACAGGAUUUUCCCUACAGUUGCGCCAGACAGGGGAGCAGGAUGACCAAUCACCUGGGAGCCUCCCUCGCCGUCGCAGGAAGCCAACGGCCAUAGCGGGCUCAGCAAGGACAGCAGGACGUGUCUCAAAGGCCAAGAAUGUGGCCAGCACACAGCCACAGGAGAGGACAGACUCCUUCACUUUGGGUCGAACUUCCCAGACAGAGAAAAGCCCAUCAUCAAGAAGGGCUGCCCUUUGGAGGCUGAUCAAGGGACCAGGUGAACUCUGGGCGCCCCUGCCGACUCAGUGAUUCUGAGAUCAACUGAG